GAUUUACUUCGGUAAUGACGUUGGGAAAGCGAGCGGCGGAUGGGUGAGUAACACGUGGGGAACCUGCCCCUAAGUCUGGGAUACCAUUUGGAAACAGGUGCUAAUACCGGAUAAUAAAGCAGAUCGCAUGAUCAGCUUUUGAAAGGCGGCGUAAGCUGUCGCUAAGGGAUGGCCCCGCGGUGCAUUAGCUAGUUGGUAAGGUAACGGCUUACCAAGGCGACGAUGCAUAGCCGAGUUGAGAGACUGAUCGGCCACAUUGGGACUGAGACACGGCCCAAACUCCUACGGGAGGCAGCAGUAGGGAAUCUUCCACAAUGGACGCAAGUCUGAUGGAGCAACGCCGCGUGAGUGAAGAAGGUUUUCGGAUCGUAAAGCUCUGUUGUUGGUGAAGAAGGAUAGAGGUAGUAACUGGCCUUUAUUUGACGGUAAUCAACCAGAAAGUCACGGCUAACUACGUGCCAGCAGCCGCGGUAAUACGUAAGUGGCAAGCGUUGUCCGGAUUUAUUGGGCGUAAAGCGAGCGCAGGCGGAAAAAUAAGUCUAAUGUGAAAGCCCUCGGCUUAACCGAGGAACUGCAUCGGAAACUGUUUUUCUUGAGUGCAGAAGAGGAGAGUGGAACUCCAUGUGU
rnacentral:rRNA from 1 species